ACUAUUUUGGCAGAUAAAAUGUUAUGGUUUUAGAAGUCAUAUAUAUAUAUAUUUAUAUAUAUAAAUAGUA
rnacentral:tRNA from 1 species